rnacentral:piRNA from 1 species
UGUUGCUUAUAUCUCAUGACACCCAUGAUGU